UGGGGAAUAUUGCACAAUGGGGGGAACCCUGAUGCAGCGACGCCGCGUGGGUGAAGAAGUAUUUCGGUAUGUAAAGCCCUAUCAGCAGGGAAGAAAAUGACGGUACCUGACUAAGAAGCCCCGGCUAACUACGUGCCAGCAGCCGCGGUAAUACGUAGGGGGCAAGCGUUAUCCGGAUUUACUGGGUGUAAAGGGAGCGUAGGUGGCGUGUCAAGUCAGGAGUGAAAACCCAGGGCCCAACCCUGGGACUGCUCUUGAAACUGGCAGGCUUGAGUGCUGGAGAGGUAAGCGGAAUUCCUAGUGUAGCGGUGAAAUGCGUAGAUAUUAGGAGGAACACCAGUGGCGAAGGCGGCUUACUGGACAGUGACUGACACUGAGGCUCGAAAGCGUGGGGAGCAAACAGG
rnacentral:rRNA from 1 species